rnacentral:lncRNA from 10 species
CCGGCCCACUCCGCCAUUUUCCUCCGGAAGUGUGGCACCCAGAGGCGGUCCUGUAGCUGGGCCGGCUUGGGGCUUGGUUCUAUGUCCCUGUGGGUUGGUGCAAGGGCCAGGAGGAACCCGUGAGCCUCAGGGGAUCCCAGGGGGCCGGACCAGUGUUCCCUAGUUGUGGGAACAGACGCGUGGGCGCAUCGCGGGAGGGCAGGGCCUGAAGAGCAGCUAUGUUUCCAGUGUCCUCUGGGUGUUUCCAAGAGCAACAAGAAACGAAUAAAUCUCUGCCAUAGGAGUUUUAGCCAAUUCAGAGGCCUUGCUCCCUACAAUUUGGAACAUUCCUUUGGAUUUGACCAAGUCAGGAAGAGAUGGGAGAAAAGUGAAACAACAACAAUAAAACCCCAAGCAUAAACAAACAAAGAGUUAAGCAAAACAACAAAUGCACAAUUCAUAUGAUUACUGAGUGUUCUAAUGGUAAGGAGAAAUUAAAAGCAGA